ACUGGCCUGAAUGAUUGACAUUGUAUCAAUGCUGUCACUUUAAGUUCAAAUAAGUUAAAAUAAUCAAAUUUCUUAUUAUUUCAACAAUUAGAAAUAAUAGUUCCUUGCUUAAAAAUUUUGCAUUCACUAUGCCUAAAUACACUAAAUGAUACACCAGCGAUCUCAAUGUGCGUUUCAUUCAUUGUGCGUCGAGCCCAAAUGAAAAGGAGCGGUUUCAAGAUCUAUUGCCCGGUGUUAUGAGUACGUUGACUGAUGCAUUAUGCAACAGUGAGAGAUUUGCAGCCCAACGCGGGUUAAAACUUUUUUUUUCUUUUGAUAGAUUUGCAAAUCUAUCACUUCACUGUUGCAUAACAUGUCAGUCAACGUCCUCGUCGUACCGGACAAUAAAUCUUGAAACUGCUCCUUUUCAUUUGGACUCGAUGCACACUGAAUGAAGCUGAUCACAACGCUCAUGGCCGUGACCUUCACAUCGAGAUCCAAGUGUAUUUAGGAAUAGCGAGCACACAUUUUUAAGCAAGGGACUAUUGUUCCUCCUAUGAUGUUAGCUAAUUGCCGAAAUAAUAAGAAGGUCGACUCUUUUAACUUGUUUGAAUUGGAAGUGAUGCACUGAUAUAAGAAUAACAAUAAUUCAGGCCAGUUGUUACCUGGAAGAAGGCCUAGGAGAAAACAACUAAUAAGAGAUAUACAUCUUUGAUGCUGUUGUGGAGGAGUGCUCUAAAGUAUGUGUAUAUAUUUGUGGAUUUUUCCUUGAUGGCUUCCUGUAUUUGGUAGUUACUCUGUGAAAAUUAGGACUAUGAUGUUUGUCUUCCUUUAAUUUUGGUUGCAAGCAAUGACGAAGAUCCAGGUGUUAGACAGGUUCUUACAUCUUAGUGGUUGCAACAGUUUUUGGUAAAGUUGCAUUUGCCAUUUGAUUUAUUGGAAAACUGUUGAUGUCGUGUUUAGAAUGCUCUUUAUGGACUUGGGCUUUGUGCGGAAUGUGGUAGUUCUGAUUUCAAACCGUUUAUUGGAAGUAUGAUAUUGAGACCCUUUCGUCAUGGAGAGGGGACAAAAAGUGAUAUGUUUUGUGUGUUUAGUUAAUCUUAUGACCUGAACUAGAGGCUCUGUCAAUGAUCAAUGUAGUGGCGAUGCAUUUAAAAGCUAUUGAACCUGAGAAUGUAGAUGCAUAUGAUAAUGUUGUUUCUGGACUUGGUAAGAUAUCUAUACUUCAUGGUGAAAGUAUCAACGUAGCCAAGUAUGUUCUUUUAUUUGUUCGUGCAUUCUUAUACCUUCAGCUCAUAUAUGCUUGAGUAGGCACUCCAAAAUUUCAGUUAUAGAUGGGUAAUUUAGUGCAUGCAUCAAAUAGUUUGAGACGUCAUAGUGUUGGAUCACAUAAUUUGUUCCAAUAUUAAUCUAAUAGAUAUUAAAAUCUAAAGGUAGGGGCGUAUCUAUAGCCUCAAUUAUGGGGCACGUGAACCCAUGAUCCUUCCGUCAAACUAGGUAUUUUAUCUAUGUAUUUCAUAGAACUGAUCCAAUAUUAUGUAUUGGCACCCAUGCUCCAUAAAGGUUGAAUGGUGCACUUGGUUCAAUACUUAAUUAUUUACUCAAAGAAACAACGAUCAAUUCCCACUUUACACUUUUUCCUCCUCAUUUCUAUAGUGAUGCACCCAUGUUCUAGAAAUCCUAGAUCCGUCUCUAUCUAAAGGUCAAUAAGUCAAUUGAAUCAUUACCGGAAACAAUUGACAAAGUCUACGAAUAUAGUCAUGUGAUGCUUGGUUUGACUAUUCCUUUCUUGUUUAUUUAGUUGCUUUACCCGUUUAGCUGAAAGGAGUUUUAGUUAAGCCAAUGAGGACUUUCCUAUAGGUGACGUAAUUUGAGUAAUUAUAUAGUAGUUUCCUAUGCUUGUAAUGGCUACACUUUCUUAAAACUAGUUCUUAGUUGCCUAUAUGUUUCAAAUUUCCUAACUUUCUUUUUCUUUUUAUAAAACCACCUUGAAUUGGAGGGGUUUGACUGAGUUGUUCCAUUUUACCUAGUUAUUUAGCCCUUUUAUUUCUUUCUCUUGCUUCAAUGUUGUUCUGCUAACUAUUAGAUACCCCAACUAAUUCUUUUCUUUUCUUAUUUUCCCAAUCACAUGUGAAAAAGAAAACAUUCAUGUAUUUAUGCAAAAAAGAAGUAGGUCUCUAGAUGCACUUAUGUAAAGCCUCCAUCAGCUUCUUCUCUUUAGGCGUUAUGCAAUGGUAAGGUCAUCUCUUGGAUCUUGAAUGCCCUAGGAAGAAACAUUUGGGACAACAUUUUUAUAUUGUCAAAGCAUGGAUCGUUAGGGAGGAUAGAUUUAUUCGGACAAAUGGGGCAAUGUUUAUCAAAAACAAAAGGCACAAGACGGCUUGACACACGAAUGUUUGCAGUACUUCACUAAGAUGAAGGAGUUCUAGGAUGAGCUUGGACAGCCUAAUAUAAUGUACCUGUGAAUGCAUUUGUGGAAUAAAGUAAGUACUCUAUAAAGCUGAACAGGAUCAGAAACUCAAUUAUUCAUCUCCUAUUGGAUUUAGAAUAAGACCUAAAUCUCUGUGAGAGGAGAUAUAUUAAUUAUGAGCCUCGUUCCUUACAAAUUACACGGUUUCCCUUGUAAUUUUAAGUGCCACAGUGGAAAAAAAAACUGCAGCAAAGAUACAAGGAGGAACAAUAAAUUAAACUAGUGAAGCCUCAACUGCAGCCUGCACAGCUCUCUGCACAGCCAAAUUAUGGAGGAAAACUCUAGUGUUCUUGAAACAAAAAAAUUAACAAUUUCUAGCAAGUUGGUAGGUUUUCCAGCUUGGUUGAGUUGCCUGCCUAUAAAAGCUGACAUGUUAAUGAACAGUUGGGUUAAAUGGUCGAAAGAUACUGGAUUGGUCUGCUUUAGGCUUUAUCCUCAUUUACUUUACUGUUUCAAGUAUUAGUUUUGUUACCUUAACUAGGUUUUAAUUAGCCAAAUUAAACAUUAACAUGAAGUUUCUCUAAUAGGUGAUCUCAUAUAAAAUUGCAUUUUUGGUCUUUUUAAUGUUCACCAAAUUUUCUCACUUGCAGGUCAGACAGAGAACUUUUAGGUUCCAGCUUUCAUUACCUUCCAAAAGCUGUUUCAGUUUUUGCAGGGGUUCUAUGUUGUUAAACAGAUCUUGAUACAAAAGAAACUACAAAUCGCGUGAUUAAUGUAUUAAGGCAUCUUCAACAAACGCUACUACCAGCCACCUUGGAAUCAGCAUGGUUAUUGCCUCAGUAUAUCUUUUGCAUCAGCAGGAGUUGGAAUUGAAAUCCAUUCUAUCACCUGAAGAAGAUGGUAACUUUUAACGAAUUCAGUGAAACUACUGCUCCUGUAUUUUUGGUUGUAUCAAACAUUUCGAUGGUCAAUAUUCCAGAAACACCAUUCAUUUGUAAUGAGGUUUUGCGUUGGCAUACUCAGGUGAGGGAGCUUGGAAGUAAGCAAGCUAAAGGUGGAAACUUUUUGUGUGUGUGUGUGUGUGAGAGAUAUACAUACGUGUAAAAUGGGUAUAAUAGAAAAGCUCAAGUUAAUCCUUGCUCCAGAAAAAGAGUUCAGGGUCUAUAUGCAUGUGUGCAAAACUAGUAAUUUUUGAGUGGUAAACAUGCUUGAAUGUACCUUUGAAUGCAAAGAACAUGUUUUAGACUUUUCGAAAGUAGUUUAGUUGAGUUUGACUUCUGAAUUGGUAAUUUGGAACAAGAAGAGUUGGAAAAUAAAGUAUGUGGCUACAGAUUCUUUCUACUACAUGACUCUUAGCCUCUCAAAAAUAUAACUCAAAAUCAAGUGGUAAUUUGAUUGUGAUUUCUGAAGGAGAAUUGUAGCCCUUGAAGUACAGUUCCAAUGGUUUAGAUGGUUUGCAAAAUUGACCUUCCGAUACAAAUUAUGGGCAUUUUACUAAAUACGUGCAACGUUAAUCAUGCCAAAGCUCCAGAAUCCAACAUAAAACACUGUCAAAUUGCUAUGAGCAGGUUAUGUUGAAGGGAGAGAGAAGAGAAGAGGGAGACUGCAGUGGCGAAAUUUCAGCGAUUAUCAUGAAGAUGUGUUCAUUUUUUUGUGAAGAGAGAGUUCUUUGCUGAUUUUGAGUUAUAUUUUUGUAUUAGCUAUGAAUCUAAUAAAUCAGGAGUUCACUUGAGUUAUACUUUUCCCUAUAUGGUUCUCGUAUAUUAUACAGUUUUUGCAGUUCA